UACGGAGGGUGCAAGCGUUGUUCGGAAUUACUGGGCGUAAAGCGCACGUAGGCGGCCUUUUAAGUCCACCUGUGAAAUGCCGGGGCUCAACCCCGUGCCUGCAGGGGAUACUGGGAGGCUGGAGACAUGUAGAGGCUAGUGGAAUUCCGGGUGUAGCGGUGGAAUGCGUAGAGAUCCGGAAGAACACCUGAGGCGAAGGCGGCUAGCUGGGCAUGAUCUGACGCUGAGGUGCGAAAGCGUGGGGAGCGAACAGG
rnacentral:misc_RNA from 1 species